CCUACGGGUGGCAGCAGUGGGGAAUAUUGGACAAUGGGCGAAAGCCUGAUCCAGCCAUGCCGCGUGUGCGAAGAAGGCCUUCGGGUUGUAAAGCACUUUCAGUGGGGAAGAAAGCCUUGGGGCUAAUACCCUCGAGGAAGGACAUCACCCACAGAAGAAGCACCGGCUAACUCCGUGCCAGCAGCCGCGGUAAUACGGAGGGUGCGAGCGUUAAUCGGAAUUACUGGGCGUAAAGCGCGCGUAGGCGGUCUGAUAAGCCGGUUGUGAAAGCCCCGGGCUCAACCUGGGAACGGCAUCCGGAACUGUCAGGCUAGAGUGCAGGAGAGGAAGGUAGAAUUCCCGGUGUAGCGGUGAAAUGCGUAGAGAUCGGGAGGAAUACCAGUGGCGAAGGCGGCCUUCUGGACUGACACUGACGCUGAGGUGCGAAAGCGUGGGUAGCAAACAGGAUUAGAUACCCUAGUAGUC
rnacentral:rRNA from 1 species